GUCUAGAUAGCUCAGGUGGUAGAGCAAAGGACUGAAAAUCCUUGUGUCGGAGGUUCAAGUCCCCCUCUAGACA
rnacentral:tRNA from 1 species